rnacentral:misc_RNA from 1 species
CAGAGUUAUCAAAAACUCCCAACCCUUUGUGAACCGUACCGUCGUUGCCUCGGCGCAGAACCUGGAGCCGCUUCUCGGAGAAGCUACCCUGGAGCUGAUUACCCUGUAAGAAGCUACCCUCGAGAGCUACCCGGGACCGCCUUCCAGCCGCGUCAGAGGACCUACCCUAAACCCUUUAUUUUUUCUUACCGUGUCUUUCUGAGUGACCGAAAAAAAAAGUUA